rnacentral:rRNA from 1 species
GAUGAACGCUGGCGGCGUGCCUAAUACAUGCAAGUCGAGCGAACGGACGAGAAGCUUGCGUCUCUGAUGUUAGCGGCGGACGAGUGAGUAACACGUGGAUAACCUACCUAUAAGACUGGGAUAACUUCGGGAAACCGGAGCUAAUACCGGAUAAUAUUUUGAACCGCAUGGUUCAAAAGUGAAAGACGGUCUUGCUGUCACUUAUAGAUGGAUCCGCGCUGCAUUAGCUAGUUGGUAAGGUAACGGCUUACCAAGGCAACGAUGCAUAGCCGACCUGAGAGAGUGAUCGGCCACACUGGAACUGAACCACGGUCCAGACUCCUACGGGAGGCAGCAGUAGGGAAUCUUCCGCAAUAGGCGAAAGCCUGACGGAGCAACGGCGCGUGAGUGAUGAAGGUCUUCGGAUCGUAAAACUCUGUUAUUAGGGAAGAACAUAUGUGUAAGUAACUGUGCACAUCGUGACGGUACCUAAUCAGAAAGCCACGGCUAACUACGUG